UGAAAGGGAUACUUCUUCGGACAAUAUACAAGGUGCUGCAUGGUUGUCGUCAGCUCGUGCCGUGAGGUGUCGGGUUAAGUCCCGCAACGACGCGCAACCCCUGCUAUCUGUUGCCAGCAAGGUAAUGUUGGGGACUCAGAUGGAACUGCCGGUGACAAACCGGAGGAAGGUGGGGAUGACGUCAAGUCAUCAUGGCCCUUACGGCCUGGGCUACACACGUGCUACAAUGGUCGGUACAAAGGGUUGCCAAGCCGCGAGGUGGAGCUAAUCCCAUAAAACCGAUCGUAGUCCGGAUCGCAGUCUGCAACUCGACUGCGUGAAGUCGGAAUCGCUAGUAAUCGUGAAUCAGAAUGUCACGGUGAAUACGUUCCCGGGCCUU
rnacentral:rRNA from 1 species